rnacentral:rRNA from 1 species
CCUACGGGUGGCUGCAGUGGGGAAUAUUGCACAAUGGAGGAAACCCUGAUGCAGCGAAGCCGCGUGAGUGAAGAAGGACUUCGGUAUGGACAGCUCUAUCAGCAGGGAAGAAAAUGACGGUACCUGAUUAAUAAGCCCCGGCUAAAUACGUGCCAGCAGCCGCGGUAAUACGUAGGGGGCAGGCAUUAUACGGAUUUACUGGGUGUUAAGGGAGCGUAGACGGCAGCACAAGUCUGUAGUGAAAUGCCGGGUAGUAACCCAGGAACUGCUUUGUAAACUGUGCAUGUAGAGUGCAGGAGAGGUAAGUGGAAUUCCUAGUGUAGCGUUGAAAUGCGUAGAUAUUAGGAGGAACACCAGUGGCGAAGGCGGCUUACUGGACUGUAACGGACGUUGAGGCUCGAAAGCGUGGGGAGCAAACAGGAUUAGAUACCCCGGUAGUC